rnacentral:rRNA from 1 species
GACGAACGCUGGCGGCGUGCCUAACACAUGCAAGUCGAACGGAAAGGCCCUGCUUUUGUGGGGUGCUCGAGUGGCGAACGGGUGAGUAACACGUGAGUAACCUGCCCUUGACUUUGGGAUAACUUCAGGAAACUGGGGCUAAUACCGGAUAGGAGCUCCUGCUGCAUGGUGGGGGUUGGAAAGUUUCGGUGGUUGGGGAUGGACUCGCGGCUUAUCAGCUUGUUGGUGGGGUAGUGGCUUACCAAGGCUUUGACGGGUAGCCGGCCUGAGAGGGUGACCGGCCACAUUGGGACUGAGAUACGGCCCAGACUCCUACGGGAGGCAGCAGUGGGGAAUAUUGCACAAUGGGCGGAAGCCUGAUGCAGCAACGCCGCGUGCGGGAUGACGGCCUUCGGGUUGUAAACCGCUUUCGCCUGUGACGAAGCGUGAGUGACGGUAAUGGGUAAAGAAGCACCGGCUAACUACGUG